ensembl:lncRNA
AUGGGAUUUUCCAGGCAAGAGUACUGGAGCGGGGUGCCAUUGCCUUCUCCGAGUGUAGUAAUAUUUAGUCAUGAUAGGGAAUGAGGAGGAAGAAGCAGACAUUCUGGGUGACAGACUGGAUUUGGCAACCAAGGAGAAAUAUAUACCAGAAGGUGCCAAGUUAAGAGACGAUGGAGCUGGCUGGAUCCUUCCAGAAUGGAAAAGAAGCUCUUUUGAAAGAUGCCUGGGAAGGUACUACAAGGGUCAAACAAGAUGAUUCAAGCAAAAGCUACCUUAAAAAAUAUGGCUUAUUGAUACUAUCCUCUGUUGCCUUAAAACUGAAAUACUUGGUGCAUGGGAAUGAUGUCCUAGUAAUGGACGGUCUCCUCAAGAAAAGUCAAAAUCUGCAUUUCUUGAUAAAGAAACUGAGACAUCAAAAGGCUAUGUCAUUUGUCUGAAGUCACAC